AUUGGAUUAAAGGUAAACUGUGUGAAAUAGUGUAGAAACAGGUAUAUAGCUGGAGGUGGAGAAGAAGUUCUUAUUAGUUUACUGCACUAAUCUCUUUCAGUGCAAAACCCAGGUCUGAAUAAGUCAGCCAAGGCUUUGGUAGCAAUGAUGAUAAUUUCACUCACACUGGUUUCUUUGCUCUGCUUUGGAUUUUCUUGGAAGAGAAGGGAUGGUAAGUCUGGUGACAAACCAAUGACAUAAGAUACAAGCAGAAGGCUUUCCGUUAGCAGCCCCAUUCAUCUCAAUGGGAGUCGUUUCAUUCCUGAAAAAAAUGUGAUGUAAAUGCAUCCAUAUUUGCUGUUCCAAAACAUUUGAGCCAAUCACCUGAACUGUAAAUGUGACUUGUCACUCUCUAUAUAAGAGAGGAAUCAAGUUUUUCUUUGUUAGCAUGGCCCUGCUAGUGAUAGCUCUGGUGGUAUAUGCUGUAAUAACUGCAUGAUUCUGGGACAGAAAGCAUCUUUCUCCAUUGGUGUGUAUUCAGAAGAACCUGGUGAAAAAACAUUUAAAAAAAUACAAAUCUUUUAAAAUUCUAAACAUUUUUUAAACAUUUACUUACCGUCUAGUUGUUCCAAACCUGUAUGAACUUCUUUCUUCCCUCUCUCUCUCUCUCUCUCUCACACACACACACACACACACACAAACACGUAUUGAAGAAUGUUGGAAACCAAGCAGUUUCUGGUCCCCAUUGUUUUCCAUAGUGCUUUUUUUCCCAAUGAUCAUGAACAUUGAAUGAACAGCUGAAUGGAAAUGCUGACACUCUCACAUCUCUUUUCCUCAGAGAAGCUGAAGUCUCUGAACAUCUCAGCGAUUGUUCUGCCCCCCAGGGUGGUUGUGAGUAAGAAAGGCAGAGUCACCAUCAGUGUGGAAGGCAGGUUGGCAGAGAGAGUACAGACCACAUGGUUUCUCAAUGAUGUCCCCAUUACAGACACUGCAUACAGAGAGAAAAAAUAUGGUCCUUUUUGCUUGGCAGCCUAUACUCCUCACAGCUCUCAUGUGUCUUUGGUGUCGGAGAAAAGCUCUCUGCUGCCCUCUGCUGCUGCCUCAGGAUAUUACAAGCUGCACACUCAGAUGUUGCCAUGCUUGUUCUCCUGCUCCAUGAAGCAGCUGUUCUCCUCCGUCACAUUUAUAACAAACCUGUCCAUUCACAAGGGUGCAGUUUUCAAAUGCCACAUCUCGUAUAAGGGCAAAGACAAGCUUGUGGCCAAGAGAGUUUCCGACAAGUUUACUAUUCAAGCACCACCUGAAGUUUCAUUGAUCCAGUUCUCAGAGUCAAAUGAGGAAGGAGGUGCAGUAUGACAAACAGUGCACACAUUAAAAUAGUGCAAACGAUGUAAAUGCAUCAUUACAGAAGGUUUUCUCUCCCCAGGCGUUGUGACCAUGAUGGCCCAGGCCUCUGGCUUUCAUCCGGACAUCACCACCUUCCGCUGGUUCUGUGAGGGCAGCGAGCUGAGCCCCGUGUCUGUCCCGCAGGUGCUGGCGGCCCCUCGGCCAGAUGCUGCAGGCUUCUUCUCUUCUUCUGCAGGCCCCCGCCGCAGAGCUGGAGCGAGGGGAGACCCAGGUGUGGGUCACUGUCCACCACACGGCCCUCAAACAGCGCCUCACACACCAGACUAGAGGUGACAUAACUGAGCACUUGUGAUUCAGAUAAAGACAGUGUUUAGAAUGGAGUGCAUCAGUGGUCUUGGUGCUGGAGGUAUUUUUCCAU
ensembl:lncRNA